UUUACCAAAUAUAGAUAUUUUUAGUUAAUAAAUAAAUACGUAAUAUGAAACUAAUAUCUGAAUAAUUUUGCAAUCAGGUACAAACUAAAUGCUAUUGUCGAGGAUGAGACAGGAUCGGCAAACUUCACAAUUUUUGGCAAAUUAGCACAAGACCUAAUACAUGCGCCUGCUCAUCAUCUUGCAACUGCAAUCAAUUCAGAUCGAAAUGUUCUGCCUACUGCUAUAAAAAAUAUUCUCGGUCAAACUUAUAUUUUUCAAGUCUUAGCCGAUUCUCGAAAACAUAAUAUUGGUGUGCCAUCAUUUAGAGUUGCAAAAAUUUUUGCACCUGAUUUAGAUACAAAAGGAAAAGGUAAACAGGUCAGCACAAAUACUGAAAUAACUGGAGAAGUAACUGAUACAACUGCAAUUGCUACUGAAUCUCAUUAUGGAUUAAAUGAAGUAUCACCUUAUCUAACUGUGGAAUCAUUGUGAGUAUUCCAUUUUUUGGUUUAUUGUCACCAAUUUAACUUAUUAAAUUGUAUCUCAAACUAUUUUUUAUAUUAACUUUAUUAAUUUUUUUCCAGGAUUACACAACCAAGCUCAGAAAUGCUUCAACUGAACAAAAAAAAAAGGCUUUUUAGAUUCUACAUCCGACAGAGAAUGAAGCCUAUUACUAAGUAGUAUAAAUAUUAUAUAUCUUUUUAAGGAAUAUGUUUUGAUAAAUAGCGUGUACUUAUAUUUCUUUUUAAGAAGUAUGUUUUGAUGAAUAAUACACACUGUGCUCAGCAGUUACUGCUUUAUUAAGUAUUUGCUUAAAUACCAGACACUUGUAUUAGUAUAUCAAUACUUAAAUUGGAUUCAUCCUGUAAACUCUCUCUUUCCACUCAAACAAUCCUCUGUGGAAUUUUAUUAGAAUGAUAUCUGUUCAACCUUAAAUGCAAACUCACCAUCUCUUUGUGGUU